GAUAUAGAAGUUAGGAUUUUAAUAUUUUAAAAAAAAAAAAGUUUAAAAAUAGUAAAUUUGGCUAAUUUUGUGCCAGCAGCAGCGGUUAUACAAAAAAAUUAUCUAAUAUGUUUCUAUUAUUAAUAAAAAUAGAUAAAAAAUAAAUAGUUAUUAUUAUUUAAAAGGUUUAAUUUUAAGAAUUAGUAAAUUAAAUAUUUUUUUUGUUAUUAAAUUAAUUAAAAUAAAACUAGGAUUAGAUACCCUAUUAUAAAGUGAAGCUUUGAUAUUACAUGAUAUUCAUUAAAACAAAAAAAUUUGGCGGUAUUUUAAUCUAUUCAGAGGAAUUUGCUCUAUAAAGGAUAUAACGCCGAUAUCUUACUUUAAAUUGUAAAUUAUUCAGUUUGUAUACCGCUAUUUUUAUAAUAUUGUAAAAUUAUUAUAGAGAUUAUAAUUAUAUAAAAAGAUUAGGCCAAGGUGCAGUUAAUUUUAAAGAUUGAAGUGAAUUACUUUAAUUUGAGUUUUAGUCAAGUUAUGAAGUUGAAAAUUUUAUAAUAAGUCGAAUUUGAUAGUAAAUAUAAAAUAGUAUGUUAUAUUGAAUAAAGCUCUAAGAUAUGUACAUAUUGCCCGUCACUCUCAUUUAAUGUUGAGAUAAGUCGUAACAAAGUAAGGGUAUCGGAAGAUGUUCUU
rnacentral:rRNA from 1 species